rnacentral:rRNA from 1 species
CCUACGGGUGGCAGCAGUGGGGAAUAUUGGACAAUGGGGGGAACCCUGAUCCAGCCAUGCCGCGUGUGUGAAGAAGGCCCUCGGGUUGUAAAGCACUUUCAGUGAGGAAGAACGCCUGGUGGUUAAUACCCAUCAGGAAAGACAUCACUCACAGAAGAAGCACCGGCUAACUCCGUGCCAGCAGCCGCGGUAAUACGGAGGGUGCGAGCGUUAAUCGGAAUUACUGGGCGUAAAGCGCGCGUAGGUGGCUUGAUAAGCCGGUUGUGAAAGCCCCGGGCUCAACCUGGGAACGGCAUCCGGAACUGUCAAGCUAGAGUGCAGGAGAGGAUGGUAGAAUUCCUGGUGUAGCGGUGAAAUGCGUAGAGAUCGGGAGGAAUACCAGUGGCGAAGGCGGCCUUCUGGACUGACACUGACACUGAGGUGCGAAAGCGUGGGUAGCAAACAGGAUUAGAUACCCCAGUAGUC